rnacentral:ncRNA from 5 species
CCCUGUUGAGCUUGACUCUAGUCCGA